rnacentral:rRNA from 1 species
CAAGUCGAACGAACUUCCGUUAAUUGAUUAUGACGUGCUUGCACUGAAUGAGAUUUUAACACGAAGUGAGUGGCGGACGGGUGAGUAACACGUGGGUAACCUGCCCAGAAGCAGGGGAUAACACCUGGAAACAGAUGCUAAUACCGUAUAACAGAGAAAACCGCCUGGUUUUCUUUUAAAAGAUGGCUCUGCUAUCACUUCUGGAUGGACCCGCGGCGCAUUAGCUAGUUGGUGAGGUAACGGCUCACCAAGGCGAUGAUGCGUAGCCGACCUGAGAGGGUAAUCGGCCACAUUGGGACUGAGACACGGCCCAGACUCCUACGGGAGGCAGCAGUAGGGAAUCUUCCACAAUGGACGCAAGUCUGAUGGAGCAACGCCGCGUGAGUGAAGAAGGGUUUCGGCUCGUAAAGCUCUGUUGUUAAAGAAGAACGUGGGUGAGAGUAACUGUUCACCCAGUGACGGUAUUUAACCAGAAAGCCACGGCUAACUACGUGCCAGCAGCCGCGGUAAUAGGGUAGGUGGCAAGCGUUAUCCGGAUUUAUUGGGCGUAAAGCGAGCGCAGGCGGUCUUUUAAGUCUAAUGUGAAAGCCUUCGGCUCAACCGAAGAAGUGCAUUGGAAACUGGGAGACUUGAGUGCAGAAGAGGACAGUGGAAUUCCACGUGGUAGCGGUGAAUUGCGUAAAGAUGUGGAGGAACACCAUUGGCGAAGCGGCUUUUUGUCUGAAACUGACGCUGAGGCCGAAAGGUGGGGGCAAACAGAUUAGAUACCCUGGUAGUCCACGUGUAAACGAUGAGUGCUAAGGUUAGAGGGUUUCCGCCCUUUGGUGCGAAGCUAACCCAUUAAGCCUCCGCUUGGGGAGUCGGUCUCUGUUUGAACCUCAAGGAAUUGACGGGGGCCGCACAAGCGUGGAGCAUGUGUUUUAUUCAAGAACGGAAAAACCUUACAGGCUGACUCCUCUGACACUCUAGAGAUAGAGGUUCCCUUCGAAAACGAGUACAGGGGUGCAUUGUUGUCGUCUCUCGUGUGUGAAUGUGGUUAACUCCCCAACGGGCCCACCUUGAUCUUAGUGGCAGAUUUAGUGGCCCUCAAGGUGCUGCCGGUGACAAACCGAGGAGGGGGGGAGAACGUCAAUCUCAGCCCCUUAUGACUGGGCUAACCCGGCUAAAAGGGUGGAAAAGGGGUCAAGA